GGGUAUUUACACGGGUGAGAAUGAGAUAAAUAAGUUUAGCGUUGAAAUUAAGAUGUAUGAUGAAAUGAGCAACUAGGAUGAAGAAAGAGGAUGGUAGCUAGGGUGACAUAACCACAAAAUUUGAUCAUUUUGUCUUUUUAAAAUGAUUGAUCUUUCUACUAUGUAAAAUAUGUUGCCUCUAACAUUUCGAAGAUAUUUUUUCCUUUUGUCCGACAGUGCGUCCAAACGGGACUUGAGGUGGCAAGAUGGUGGUUGCACUUCUUAGGCUGGUGGCGGUGGAGAGAGAGAGAGAGAGAGAGAGAGAGAGAGAGAGAGAGAGAGAGAGAGAGAGAGCGGAAAGUGAGGUUGUUUGGUGGUUUGAGAUGUAGUCCAUUUUUGCUCUAGCAUGGUUGCCUUGUUGUCGGACUAGAGCAGCUCGAGUCAUGUCAACGGCAAGGUGAAUUAGAGAGGUGGUGCGAUGUGAAGCGGUAUACGCCUGUCCGGAUCGAUUUCCCGAUCUAGGACGGGUCUUCCCUACCAUGUCCAGUUGUAGUUGUUGAACGGUGGUGCGCUACCUCCCCGUGGUGGACGCGGAUGGUGAUGCUAUUAAGAUGACGGCUGAUGAUAGUGGCAGGACGACGGGUGUGGAUUUCAAAUAUGAUGCAACUUCUUUGGGCAUGGUUUAUAGAUGGAUCGUUCUUGAGGUAUGCAGAGAUGUGCUAAUAUUGAGGAAACAAAACAUGCUAGCAGAAACCAGAACCAAAAUGCAUUUCAUCUCCAUUCUACUGUGUUACAAAACCAACAACGGUCAUCCGUGAGAAACUACAAAAUUGACCUAAUACCCACAGCUAAUAUUUAGACAGAAUCAACCAAAU
rnacentral:lncRNA from 1 species